GAAGCUAGAUUGUUAUAGUCUGCUGCUGAUUUUCAUCCAAGUCAAAUUGGAUAGAGCAGCUAAUUUCUCACAGUGAUGAUAUUUUAAUUCCAAUCGUAUAAUAUCGUAUUUUAUGACAUAAUCUAUCACUUUAAUAUUCAUCCAGCUCACUUAAUAUUGAUAAUUGUUUUACAGACUGAAAUACUUUUUCUCAGUGCGUUGGAGUAGAAAGCGUUUUCCAAAUAGUCCAGUGAUAUUUUUGUGCUAGCAGUCUAGUAGGUUACAACUAGUUGGUAGACCUACCUGAUGACCGCAACUCACCAGUGACCUCUUCAUCGGACCACUGGACACAAAAUGGCGGCUUUUUGACAACAACGAAAACUUCGCUCAACCAGCGAUGUUGCAAAAAUCAGCUCAGCUUCAAUCACCCCCUCCCCACCGCUCCACACAUCUAUCAUCUAUUCAAGAUGACAUCGCUGUAUAACAGACGUCGCAUCAAACUCAGAACACUUUCUGACAUCAUACAUCAUCACCCAUCAAAUACUAUACAACGAUUUUCUAGUCGAUCAGUUUAUUAUGAAGUACAAAUUACAAAUUAAUAUACAAGUUAAUCAGUGAUAAUUUACCAAAAAUACGUCUAGUCGAGUGGUGCAUAAUUAUUUUCACCAAAGUAUUUGUGUGAAUUAAGUCUAGUGUAGUGGUAAAUUGCUCCAAAGGAAAUAUUUUGCCACCGAUAUAUCAUCACAGAGCUAAUUUGGGCUCACAUUUUUGUUUGACCUGUUGAAAAAUAACUUCAUUCUACUAAGUGACAUCUAAAUUUUUAUAAAGAGAGUGACAUCUCUACGAAUUUCGACAGUUCCGAUAAUUUCUUCCGGGUGCAGAUAUCUCAAAGAGUGAUUUAUAUCAUAAGAAACCAGUUUUCAGAUUUUAUUCGUCUUGCUAAAGGUGCGAAAAACGUACAAGUUUUUCUUCUAAUAAAUAAUACACAGUUGGAAUUUUUCGUAUCGUCAGUGAAACUCCCAUCUUAUAUCAACGUGUAUUAGCUCAAUUUUUUCGAAAACUUUCUACUGGCGAAUAUUGAAAGAUAUUUGAGAUUUAUCGAAAAUUUUAGUGCCUGUUUAUAGUGGAAAUAGGAUACAACCAGUGAGAACUACAAUAGUGCUUAAAUUUUUAAUCUGGGGUUCAAGUCAUACUUACAGAUUUUCAUACUGUUGCAUUUAAACGCAGUAUAAUACUUAAUUAUUCAAAACUUCACCUCCUAGUGAUUUGUUUCAUGAUCUAUAUCCAAUAUAGGCUUCCAAGAAUUUGAGCAGUAGCUUAUACUUGAUUUUCAUCAAUUC